UACAGAGGGUGCAAGCGUUAAUCGGAAUUACUGGCGUAAAGCGUGCGCAGACGGUUGCGUAAGUCAGAUGUGAAAGCCCACGGCUCAACCGUGGAGGGUCAUUGGAAACUGGGGGACUUGAGUGCAGGAGAGAAGAGUGGAAUUCCACGUGUAGCGGUGAAAUGCGUAGAGAUGUGGAGGAACACCAGUGGCGAAGGCGACUCUUUGGCCUGUAACUGACGCUGAGGCGCGAAAGCGUGGGGAGCAAACAGG
rnacentral:rRNA from 1 species